rnacentral:rRNA from 1 species
GACGAACGCUGGCGGCGUGCUUAACACAUGCAAGUCGAACGGAAAGGCCCUGCUUUUGUGGGGUGCUCGAGUGGCGAACGGGUGAGUAACACGUGAGUAACCUGCCCUUGACUUUGGGAUAACUUCAGGAAACUGGGGCUAAUACAGGAUAGGAGCUCCUGCUGCAUGGUGGGGGUUGGAAAGUUUCGGCGGUUGGGGAUGGACUCGCGGCUUAUCAGCUUGUUGGUGGGGUAGUGGCUUACCAAGGCUUUGACGGGUAGCCGGCCUGGGAGGGUGACCGGCCACAUUGGGACUGAGAUACGGCCCAGACUCCUACGGGAGGCAACAGUGGGGAAUGUUACACGAUGGGCGGAAGCCUGAUGCAGCAACGCCGCGUGCGGGAUGACGGCCUUCGGGUUGUAAACCGCUUUCGCCUGUGACGAAGCGUGAGUGACGGUAAUGGGUAAAGAAGCACCGGCUAACUACGUG